AUGGCAAUAUGUCAUGAAGAGUGUGCAACACUGUAUUGCAACAGGAGUCUUUGUAAACUGCUCAUGGGUGAUGGUAAAGGUGCUUUGUCAGAUGCUCUCAGGUGCAGAGUGCUGCGACCUCAUUGGGCAAAAGCUUGCUAUCGUCAAGGUGCAGCUCACAUGCUACUCAAGGAGUAUGAACAAGCCUGUAAUGCUUUCUUGGAUGCACAAGAUCUGGAUCCUGGAAAUGCUGAAAUUGAGGGUGAACUACGGAAGGCUAGGGAGCUCAUGAAGAAUUCUUCAGGCGAAGGUGAGCAGUGA
rnacentral:rRNA from 1 species